CCUACGGGGGGCAGCAGUGGGGAAUAUUGGACAAUGGGGGGAACCCUGAUCCAGCGACGCCGCGUGAGUGAAGAAGUAUUUCGGUAUGUAAAGCUCUAUCAGCAGGGAAGAAAGAAAUGACGGUACCUGACUAAGAAGCCCCGGCUAACUACGUGCCAGCAGCCGCGGUAAUACGUAGGGGGCAAGCGUUAUCCGGAUUUACUGGGUGUAAAGGGAGCGUAGACGGCGAUGCAAGUCUGAAGUGAAAGGCGGGGGCCCAACCCCCGGACUGCUUUGGAAACUGUAUGGCUGGAGUGCAGGAGAGGUAAGUGGAAUUCCUAGUGUAGCGGUGAAAUGCGUAGAUAUUAGGAGGAACACCAGUGGCGAAGGCGGCUUACUGGACUGUAACUGACGUUGAGGCUCGAAAGCGUGGGGAGCAAACAGGAUUAGAUA
rnacentral:rRNA from 1 species